rnacentral:rRNA from 1 species
AGAGUUUGAUCCUGGCUCAGAUUGAACGCUGGCGGCAGGCCUAACACAUGCAAGUCGAGCGGUAACAGAAAGUAGCUUGCUACUUUGCUGACGAGCGGCGGACGGGUGAGUAAUGCUUGGGAACAUGCCUUGAGGUGGGGGACAACAGUUGGAAACGACUGCUAAUACCGCAUAAUGUCUACGGACCAAAGGGGGCUUCGGCUCUCGCCUUUAGAUUGGCCCAAGUGGGAUUAGCUAGUUGGUGAGGUAAUGGCUCACCAAGGCAACGAUCCCUAGCUGGUUUGAGAGGAUGAUCAGCCACACUGGAACUGAGACACGGUCCAGACUCCUACGGGAGGCAGCAGUGGGGAAUAUUGCACAAUGGGCGAAAGCCUGAUGCAGCCAUGCCGCGUGUGUGAAGAAGGCCUUCGGGUUGUAAAGCACUUUCAGUCAGGAGGAAAGGGUGUGAGUUUAUACCUCACAUCUGUGACGUUACUGACAGAAGAAGCACCGGCUAACUCCGUGCCAGCAGCCG